ensembl:misc_RNA 7SK 7SK RNA
GGAUGUGAAGGCGAUUUAGCUCUGGCAUCUGUCACCCCAUUGAUUGCCAGAGUUGAUUCACCUGGACUGGAUGACUACGCAGGGGUCCCCUUCCUCCAUCACUGCUCAAUGUGCAUCUCUCCAGAAGCUGUGUGCAAGAUCAAAGAGAAUGGCCUUCCCGGAAUAGAGGAGGUCCAGUCUUCUGUCAAGGGUAUACAAGCAGCUGUGCUCCUCUGUUAGAACCUCCAAACAAGCUCUCUAGAAUAGCAAUAAUGGCUGACAUCUGUGGCGAACUGGAAUAUUAUAGACCCAGAACUAAAAUCUUCUUGUGCUAACUUGAGUUCCCUU